rnacentral:pre_miRNA from 13 species
GUGAGGACUCGGGAGGUGGAGGGUAUCAUUGCCAGAGCCGGGAUGCUGUCUCAACUCGCUUCUCCCCCCACCUCCUCUCUCCUCAG